rnacentral:rRNA from 1 species
GUAGGCUGAAACUCGCCUACAUGAAGCUGGAGUUGCUAGUAAUCGCGAAUCAGCAUGUCGCGGUGAAUACGUUCCCGGGCCUUGUACACACCGCCCGUCACACCAUGAGAGUUGGCAAUACCCAACGUACGUGAUCUAACCCGCAAGGGAGGAAGCGUCCUAAGGUAGGGUCAGCGAUUGGGGUGAAGUCGUAACAAGGUAGC